rnacentral:rRNA from 1 species
GAGUUUGAUCUUGGCUCAGGACGAACGCUGGCGGCGUGCUUAACACAUGCAAGUCGAGCGGAAAGGCCCUUUCGGGGGUACUCGAGCGGCGAACGGGUGAGUAACACGUGAGUAACCUGCCCCAGUCUUUGGGAUAACCCUCGGAAACGAGGGCUAAUACCGGAUAUGACAUUCCACCGCAUGGUGUGGGUGUGGAAAGUUUUUCGGUCUGGGAUGGGCUCGCGGCCUAUCAGCUUGUUGGUGGGGUGAUGGCCUACCAAGGCGACGACGGGUAGCCGGCCUGAGAGGGCGACCGGCCACACUGGGACUGAGACACAGCCCAGACUCCUACGGGAGGCAGCAGUGGGGAAUAUUGCACAAUGGGCGGAAGCCUGAUGCAGCGACGCCGCGUGAGGGAUGACGGCCUCGGGUUGUAAACCUCUUUCAGCAGGACGAAGCGCAAGUGACGGUACCUGCAGAAGAAGCGCCGGCCAACUACGUGCCAGCCGCCGCGGU